rnacentral:tRNA from 1 species
GCAGGGGUGCCCGAGUGGCCAAAGGGAGCAGACUGUAAAUCUGCCGGCGUGAGCCUUCGAAGGUUCGAAUCCUUCCCCCUGCACCA